CCAACUAUAGAUAUGUAGCUCCAUAAUCUUUUUUAUUAUGGUAACACUCACCAGAUAUUCAGCAGCAAGUUUGAAGCGAUUCAACUCAAAUCUUCAGAUUUAAACAUUUAUAUAGAAAUUAAAUGAAGAAGAUCUAGCAGUAAAUCACAAUGAAUACACAAAAAUUAGACAUUGAUUCAUCAGACAAUUCAGGCUUUCAUUCAUACAAUUAAUAGAAGAUUACAAGUGAACAAUCACGUAACAAGCAACAGAUGAAACAAACUUCAAAAUCAAAUAAGGGCCAGAAACUUUCGGGAUGAAAUUCAGCUGUAACGGAUCCGAAAUAAGCAGAUAAAAAGCUAUUAACUCGACUUCCACAGAUUGUACAAACCAGAAAAGAAGAAGUUGAGUUUUGAAAUCAAUUCUUUCUUCAAUGUUCCUUUAGAAAUUCCGAUUCUUCUUCUUUUUUUUCUUCUUCAAGCUUUUGUGAUUUUUCAUCUUCAUUUCCAAAUAGGGGAUUGUGUGAAGGUGAGAGAUAGAUUAAAGGUGGUAGUUAGCUGGUGGAGAUGGAGAAGGAAAUGGCUGUUCACGUUUUUUCUUUGAAGAAUGGGCGUCCGAUUUCUUUGUUGAAGAUGGAGAGAGCGUCCUUAGGUUAGAGGAUUGGAGAGGGUCCAAUUAGGAGCGCGAUAAAUAUUAGAUGCUGAAAAAUACUUUUAAGUGCUAAAAUUAAUUUACAAAAUA
rnacentral:lncRNA from 1 species